rnacentral:rRNA from 1 species
UACGUAGGGGGCGAGCGUUGUCCGGAAUUAUUGGGCGUAAAGGGCGCGUAGGCGGCUGUACAAGUCAAAGGUGAAAUCCCUCGGCUUAACCGAGGAACUGCCCUCCAAACUGCUUCGCUUGAGACCGGGAGAGGCGAGUGGAAUUCCCAGUGUAGCGGUGAAAUGCGUAGAUAUUGGGAGGAACACCAGUGGCGAAGGCGGCUCACUGGACCGGUACUGACGCUGAUGCGCGAAAGCGUGGGGAGCAAACGGG